rnacentral:rRNA from 1 species
ACUCCUACGGGAGGCAGCAGUGGGAAUAUUGCACAAUGGGGCAGCAAGCCUGAUGCAGCCAUGCCGCGUGUGUGAAGAAGGCCUUCGGGUUGAUAAAGCACUUUCAGUUGUGAGGAAAGGUUAGUCGCUAAUAUCGGCUAGCUUGUUGACGUUUAGCAACAGAAGAAGCACCGGCUAACUCCGUGCCAGCAGCCGCGGUAAUACGGAGGGUGCGAGCGUUAAUCGGAAUUACUGGGCGUAAAGCGCGUGUAGGUGGCUUGUUAAGCCAGAUGUGAAAGCCC